UCAGAUAAAACUUUGUAAUUCCGAAGUAGCGAAAUAGUCGGAGAUUCUGUGCCUUCUCUCAAUUCACGGAUUACGUUAUAUACACUUCGUCUCCCUUACCACGUCUGUGGAUUUCUGUGUCUGCUAGAUGUCUAACUGUACUGCCCAGGUCUAGCACACCCUCCCCACCCCACCCAACCCUGUCUCACCUAAUUUGUUAUUGCAUUAGUUUUAGGCUUGUUGCGCAGAUUUGUACCUAAACCUAGAUUUGCUGCAACAACAAUUUGCCUGACUCUAGCAAUAAGCUAGAUACGACAUGUAUGGAUGGUUACAGGACGUCGCUGG